UUGACCUCAAAUCAGGUAGGACUACCCGCUGAACUUAAGCAUAUCAAUAAGCGGAGGAAAAGAAACUAACAAGGAUUCCCCUAGUAACUGCGAGUGAAGCGGGAAGAGCUCAAAUUUGAAAUCUGGCGGUUCUUGACCGUCCGAGUUGUAAUCUAGAGAAGUGCUACCUGUGCUGGACCGUGUACAAGUCUCCUGGAAUGGAAGCAUCACAGAGGGUGAGAAUCCCGUCUUUGACACGGACUGCCUGCACGUUGUGGUGUGCUCUCGAAGAGUCGAGUUGUUUGGGAAUGCAGCUCAAAAUGGGUGGUAAAUGCCAUCUAAAGCUAAAUAUUGGCGAGAGACCGAUAGCGAACAAGUACCGUGAGGGAAAGAUGAAAAGAACUUUGGAAAGAGAGUUAAACAGUACGUGAAAUUGCUGAAAGGGAAACGCUUGAAGUCAGUCGCGUCGGCCAGAAAUCAGCCUUGCUUUUGCUUGGUGUACUUUCUUGUUGAUGGGUCAGCAUCAAUUUCGACCGUCGGAUAAAGUCGUUCAGGAAUGUGGCAUCUUCGGAUGUGUUAUAGCCUGGCGUCGCAUACGGUGGUUGGGAUUGAGGAACUCAGCACGCCGCAAGGCCGGGUCUUCUUUGACCACGUCCGUGCUUAGGAUGCUGGCAUAAUGGCUUUAAUCGACCC
rnacentral:rRNA from 1 species